UGGUUAACCUUCACUUUUCAGCUAAUAUUC
rnacentral:piRNA from 1 species